rnacentral:rRNA from 1 species
AUGGAGGAGGAAAAUUUGCAGCCUUCCUCUAAUGAUGAACAUGAAGAUUCCCUUUCAUUUAUUUUUGAUCCAAGAACAUGGGAAGUUCUUGACAAUAGCAAAAGGGAUAUUUUAAUUGAGAAGGGACCUAUUAGAGUACCGGAUCUGGAGUUCGAGAAGGACACCAUUGGUAGACAUUUUUCAUAUGCUUUUUACUCCAGGAAGUUAAGUAAUGGUGAGUUUGUUGACAGAAAGUGGUUGGUUUACCACAAAGGUGCAAACAAAGUAUAUUGUUUUUGUUGCAAGUUGUUCAAAUCAAAACUAAGCAAGUCUAUGCUGGCAUCUGAUGGAUUGAAUGACUGGAAGCGUUUGAGUGCGCGUCUCAAAGAUCAUGAGAACAGUGUUGAGCAUUUGACAAACAUGAAUACAUGGAAUGAAGUUAGGUUGAGACUAAGCAAAAAUCAGACAAUUGAUGAUGAUAUGCAAAGGGGGAUGGCAAAGGAGAAGGAGGUUAGACAAGUUCUGGUAAGAAUAGUUUCAGCUGUGAAGUUUAUUGCAAAACAUACUUUGGCUUUUCGUGGAUCAAAUGAGAAGUUGUAUCAAGAUAAUAAUGGUAAUUUUUUGAGCACGAUUGAAAUGAUUGUUGAAUUUGAUCAUGUUAUGCAAGAACACAUUCGGUGUAUUCAAAAUAGUGAAAUCCAUCAUCAUUAUCUUGGCCACAAAAUCCAGAACGAGUUGAUCUCAGUUCUUGCUAAUGCCGUGAGAAAUGUAAUUUUAAAGAUCAUCAAAGAUGCCAAGUAUUUUUCAGUUAUUUUGGAUUGUACCCCGGAUGUGAGCCAUGAAGAACAAAUGAGUCUCAUUGUGCGUUGUGUCAAUAUGUCAAGCAACCUUCCGAGAGUGGAGGAGCUUUUCCUAGAGUUCCUAAAGGUUGAGGACACAUCGAGGUUGGGGCUUUUGAAGGUAUUGGUGGAUACAUUGAGUUUUUUUAUUUGA